rnacentral:lncRNA from 1 species
AAUUUGAAUUAUCAAAACUGAAUUUGAAAUUAUUUUACUUGAAUAUUAGAGCUAAUAUUAUGACAAAACUAUUUGAAUGUGAAUUGUGUAAAUCUGAAUUAUCAAAAUUCAAUUCUCUAAAUUCAUUUUUCUAAAAUUCAAUUUUCUAAAUUCAGUUUUCUAAAAUUCAAACCCAGAAAUUCAGAUCGUACAGAAAGUAGGUCAGAGGUCAUUCACAGGGAGGCGUAGAUGAUCUCCGAAAAGUCGAGCGAAGCAUUUUGGUCAAUUACAGAGCUGCUCAGGAGGUGACCAUUCUUCUGCGUGAUCAUGAAUCGCCCAGAGGUAAACAACAUUUUAGACGUUUCCCGAAUAUCAACACUACUGCAACGAGGCAAGUGACUGUCUUUAUGAACUGGUUACUGAAUCAUUGGCUUAUUUAAUGAUUCAGUAACCAAUUCAAUUUAUGUCCUACUAACGAUAUUGUUUUUAGAUACACAUCAUUAGUUUGUAGCUAUAUAUAAAAAUAAAUAUAAAAUAUAUAUAUUUUGCUUAAACUGUUUUUACAGGACAGCGAAGCUGUCAGAUCAGCCAGGCACUUGUUGUCUUUGCUGACCUCAAGCAGUGCAGCUGGUCCCAGUGCAUACAUAGUUUUAUUAAAAUACUUUCAUUAAAUUAAUUUCAUAAUUCAGCCUCCAUAGGCAGCACACUGUUCAGCAGAGGGCCACCAUUCAAACUGAGAUGACCAGAUCAUUUCCCGGGUUUUUCAGCAAAGGACGGGGUAAAAGGCGAAUGCUGUCAAUGCCCCCUAGCAAACCCGCAAAAAUAUUGCCUGUUAACUUUUAUCUGUUUCCUCACCAAUAUGAGCGAACACCUGAGGAGAGUGAGCAACUGGUACAUAUGCAAGCUGGGUUGGGGUGAAAGACAAUGCAAAUGGUUGAAAAUGCAACUUAUGAUGAAGUAUGUGCCCAACUGAAGGAGCUGUUCCCAAAAUUUCAGGAUGUAAAGGGGGGUUGGCUUGUCUAUAAGUCUUCAGGUGGAUGGGGCUCCCGGAAGCUUACACUUAUCCCACCCGAUGAGAGUGGGUACAGUGCCAAACAUUUGAAAGCAGCAACCCAGGGUUUCAAAGGAGUUCUUUACGAAACUUGCCCCAUUUGUCAAAAGAAAAUGCCUUUUGAUGUGAUAGAGAUUCAUGCAAGUUUUUGCACAGGUGACGGGUAAGGAAAAUCGCACAACAUAUUUUCAGUAAAUCUUAUUACAUUUUUUUAUUGUUGUUUUUUGUACUUUCUUUGUGCUGUUCAGAUUGCCACAGGUCUUCUUCACUUCUUCACUAUACAAUUGUGAAUAUUGUGUUUUAUGUUCAAAUUAUGAAUGUUCAAUUCAUUUAGAACUCUUGAAAUUAUCUAUUCAAAAAGGAAUUUUGUUCCGUUAUUGCACGUUAAUUAAGUUUGUAUAUUACAGUGUAAGCAUGCAACCUCUGGAGUUUAAUGUGUCUAUGGAAGAACCAUCCACAUCUGGAGUUUCUGUGUCUGUGACACAUACGGGUGAUCAUUUAAAUGCAGAUGAUGCCACAAGCAUUUUUACAUUUUUUUUUGGAACUGAUAAGCAUAAUACAUUUCUGAGAUGUAAAACUGAAAUAGAAUACACAAUUAGCUUCAGCUGAACUGUUAACAUGUUGCUUCUUUGUUUUUGUUUUUUUUCUUUGCAGAUUGGAAAACUGAACCAGAUAAAAAUAAAGCAGCAUCCUUAUACA